rnacentral:misc_RNA from 1 species
GAUGAAGAACGCAGCGAAAUGCGAUACGUAAUGUGAAUUGCAGAAUUCAGUGAAUCAUCGAAUCUUUGAACGCAUAUUGCGCUCUCUGGUAUUCCGGAGAGCAUGCUUGUUUGAGUAUCAGUAAACACCUCAACUUCCAUAUCCUUUUUGAAAUGGGAGUUGGACUUGAGUGAUCCCAACGCUUUUCCUCACCGAAAAGUGGCGGGUUACUUGAAAUGCAGGUGCAGCUGGACUUUUCUCUGAGCUAUAAGCAUAUCUAUUUAGUCUGCCUAAAAAACAGAUUAUUACCUUUGCUGCAGCUAACAUAAAGGAGAUUAGUUCUUGUGCUGACUGAUGCAGGAUUCACAAAGACGGCUUCGGCCGACUUUGUAAACUCGAUCUCAAAUCAAGUAAGACUACCCGCUGAACUUAAGCAUAUCAAUAAGCGGAGGA